UACGGGGGGGGUAAGCGUUGUUCGGAAUUACUGGGCGUAAAGGGCUCGUAGGCGGCCAACUAAGUCAGACGUGAAAUCCCCAGGCUUAACCUGGGAACUGCGUCUGAUACUGGAUGGCUUGAAUUCGGGAGAGGGAUGCAGAAUUCCAGGUGUAGCGGUGAAAUGCGUAGAUAUCUGGAAGAAUACCGGUGGCGAAGGCGGCAUCCUGGACCGACAUUGACGCUGAGGAGCGAAAGCUAGGGGAGCAAACGGG
rnacentral:rRNA from 1 species